rnacentral:rRNA from 1 species
GAUGAACGCUAGCGGCAGGCCUAAUACAUGCAAGUCGAACGGUCCACUUCGGUGGAUAGUGGCGCACGGGUGCGUAACACGUAUGCAACCUACCUUACAUUGGGGGAUAGCCUUUCGAAAGGGAGAUUAAUACCGCAUAAGACAGUAACAUGGCAUCCUGUAGCUGUUAAAGAUUUAUCGAUGUAAGCUGGGCAUGCGUCCAAUUAGCUAGUUGGUGAGGUAAAGGCUCACCAAGACGAUGAUUGGUAGGGGAACUGAGAGGUCAAUCCCCCACACUGGCACUGAGAGACGGGCCAGACUCCUACGGGAGGCAGCAGUAGGGAAUAUUGGGCAAUGGACGCAAGUCUGACCCAGCCAUGCCGCGUGCAGGAAGAAGGCGUUCUGCGUUGUAAACUGCUUUUAUAUAGGAAGAAACGACCCUUGCGAGGGGCAUUGACGGUAUUAUAUGAAUAAGCACCGGCUAACUCCGUGCCAGCAGCCGCGGUAACAC